UACGUAGGUGGCAAGCGUUGUCCGGAUUUACUGGGCGUAAAGGAUGCGUAGGCGGACAUUUAAGUCAGAUGUGAAAUACCCGAGCUUAACUUGGGUGCUGCAUUUGAAACUGGGUGUCUAGAGUGCAGGAGAGGUAAGUGGAAUUCCUAGUGUAGCGGUGAAAUGCGUAGAGAUUAGGAAGAACACCAGUGGCGAAGGCGACUUACUGGACUGUAACUGACGCUGAGGAGCGAAAGCCAGGGGAGCAAACGGG
rnacentral:rRNA from 1 species